rnacentral:rRNA from 1 species
UACGUAGGGGGCUAGCGUUGUCCGGAAUCAUUGGGCGUAAAGCGCGUGUCGGCGGCCCGGUAAGUCCGCUGUGAAAGUCCAGGGCUCAACCCUGGGAUGCCGGUGGAUACUGUCAGGCUCGAGUCCGGAAGAGGCGAGUGGAAUUCCUGGUGUAGCGGUGAAAUGCGCACAUAUCAGGAAGAACACCCGUGGCGAAGGCGGCUCUCUGGGCCGUAACUGACGCUGAGGAGCGAAAGCGUGGGGAGCGAACAGG